rnacentral:rRNA from 1 species
UACGAAGGAGGCUAGCGUUGCUCGGAAUCACUGGGCGUAAAGCGCACGUAGGCGGAUUGCUAAGUCAGGGGUGAAAUCCUGGAGCUCAACUCCAGAACUGCCUUUGAUACUGGCGAUCUUGAGUCCGGGAGAGGUGAGUGGAACUGCGAGUGUAGAGGUGAAAUUCGUAGAUAUUCGCAAGAACACCAGUGGCGAAGGCGGCUCACUGGCCCGGUACUGACGCUGAGGUGGCGAAAGCGUGGGGAGCAA